rnacentral:misc_RNA from 1 species
AAGUCGUAACAAGGUUUCCGUAGGUGAACCUGCGGAAGGAUCAUUUGAUGAAUUUGCUAAUGGGACUUGAUGCUGGUAGUCAAAUACAUGUGCUCAGUCUCUGGUUCAAAUCCACUCUACACCUGUGCACCUUCAAAGCUCUGUAGUCCUCCGUAAUGGGAGCCGCGGUCGUCUGACUGCUGGGGCUGCACCUUUGCCUAUAUCAUUACAAACUUUGUAUAUUGUCUUGUAGAAUGUCUAAUGGCCUUCAGUGGCUUAACAUAAUACAACUUUCAACAACGGAUCUCUUGGCUCUC